rnacentral:rRNA from 1 species
ACGCACGCUGGCGGCGUGCUUAACCCCUGCCAGUCGCACGGAAAGGCCCUGCUUUUGUGGGGUGCUCGAGUGGCGAACGGGUGAGUAACACGUGAGUAACCUGCCCUUGACUUUGGGAUAACUUCAGGAAACUGGGGCUAAUACCGGAUAUGAGCUCCUGCUGCAUGGUGGGGGUUGGAAAGUUUCGGCGGUUGGGGAUGGACUCGCGGCUUAUCAGCUUGUUGGUGGGGUAGUGGCUUACCAAGGCUUUGACGGGUAGCCGGCCUGAGAGGGUGACCGGCCACAUUGGGACUGAGAUACGGCCCAGACUCCUACGGGAGGCAGCAGUGGGGAAUAUUGCACAAUGGGCGGAAGCCUGAUGCAGCAACGCCGCGUGCGGGAUGACGGCCUUCGGGUUGUAAACCGCUUUCGCCUGUGACGAAGCGUGAGUGACGGUAAUGGGUAAAGAAGCACCGGCUAACUACGUG